GAUGAACGCUGGCGGCGUGCCUAAUACAUGCAAGUCGAGCGAACAGACGAGGAGCUUGCUCCUCUGACGUUAGCGGCGGACGGGUGAGUAACACGUGGAUAACCUACCUAUAAGACUGGGAUAACUUCGGGAAACCGGAGCUAAUACCGGAUAAUAUAUUGAACCGCAUGGUUCAAUAGUGAAAGACGGUUUUGCUGUCACUUAUAGAUGGAUCCGCGCCGCAUUAGCUAGUUGGUAAGGUAACGGCUUACCAAGGCAACGAUGCGUAGCCGACCUGAGAGGGAGAGCAGCCAAACUGGAACUGAGACAAGGUACAGACGCAGACGGGAGGAAGCAGUAGGGGAUGUUCCGGAAUGGGAGAAAGCCUGAAAGAGAAAAGCAGGGUGAGUGAUGAAGGUUUUAGGAACGUAAAACGCUUUUAUUAGGGAAGAAAAAAUGUGUAAGGAACAAGGAACGUCUUGACGGUACCUAAUAAGAGAGCCAGGGCUAACUACGUG
rnacentral:rRNA from 1 species